rnacentral:rRNA from 1 species
AUUGAACGCUGGCGGCAGGCCUAACACAUGCAAGUCGAACGAGUGGCGGACGGGUGAGUAAUGUCUGGGAAACUGCCCGAUGGAGGUGGAUAACUACUGGAAACGGUAGCUAAUACCGCAUACCAUCUGAUGUGCCCAGAUGGGAUUAGCUAGUAGGUGGGGUAACGGCUCAACUAGGCGACGAUCCCUAGCUGGUCUGAGAGGAUGACCAGCCACACGGGAACUGAGACACGGUCCAGACUCCUACGGGAGGCAGCAGUGGGGAAGAUUGCAAAAUGGGCGCAAGCCGGAUGCAGCAAUGCCGCGUGUAUGAAGAAGGACGUCGGGUUGUAAAGUACUUUCAGCGGGGAGGCGUGACCCGCAGAAGAAGCACCGGCUAACUCCGUGCCAGCAGCCGCGGUAAUAC